GCUGGACGGUGAACAAUUGCCGUCUUAUAUAAAUCUAUUUAAUUCAGUGGAUACCUCUCUGAGGCAAUACUGAGCUAUACAAAAUAUAUACUUGUGUAGUGCAACGACUAACCAGAAAUGGUGUACGCUUACUUAGGUAGGUGGAAAUAUUAGAUACUGUGACAGGUAAAGAUAUAGUCUGAACUUCUAUGGUGACAUAGAG
rnacentral:ncRNA from 1 species